AGAGCGAACGCUGGCGGCAGGCUUAACACAUGCAAGUCGAACGGAUCCUUCGGGAUUAGUGGCGGACGGGUGAGUAACACGUGGGAACGUGCCUUUAGGUUCGGAACAACACAGGGAAACUUGUGCUAAUACCGGAUGUGCCCUUCGGGGGAAAGAUUUAUCGCCUUUAGAGCGGCCCGCGUCUGAUUAGCUUGUUGGUGAGGUAAAGGCUCACCAAGGCUACGAUCAGUAGCUGGUCUGAGAGGAUGGCCAGCCACAUUGGGGCUGAGACACGGCCCAAACUCCUACGGGAGGCAGCAGUGGGGAAUCUUGCGCAAUGGGGGAAACCCUGACGCAGCCAUGCCGCGUGGAUGAUGAAGGUCUUAGGAUUGUAAAAUCCUUUCAGCGGGGACGAUAAUGACGGUACCCGCAGAAGAAGCCCCGGCUAACUUCGCGCCAGCAGCCGC
rnacentral:rRNA from 1 species